rnacentral:lncRNA from 10 species
GAAGCAGGCCCUCGCCAGACUCCGAAUCUGCUGGCACCUUGAUUUUGAAUUUCCCAGCCUCUAGAUCAGCGAGGCCAGACCAGAGGAAAAUGAUCAGUGGAGGAGAUGGGGACUCAGGCUUCCAUUCACGUCAUCUGGCUCAGGAUUUGGGGACUGCAUCCUCAUGCUGAAGACCCCGCCACAGAGGGGGCCCCUGUGGGCAUGGCAGCAAGGGUGGCAGCCGUCUUUGGGAUGGCUCACAAAGCGGACAGAGGAAACAACAAAGACACAGCACGUGGCUCCUGUAAGUCAUUUUACUUUGAAUAUAUAGGAAACAAAAUCCACAAACAGGAAGCUAUGUUCUAUGGUUAUGUCUUUUAAACAAUGUUCU